CCUGGGCGCUUGGGUGUGGCCGGGAGCCUCCCUUGGCUGGCCCGGGGCCCAGGGACCGAGCGGGCCGGUGCAUUCGCCAGGCAGGGGGUGGGAGCCUGUUGGCCGGCCGGUGCCUUUGCAGCAGGGCAGCGGGAGGGAAGCGGACAGUGUGUUGGUGUGGUGGGCUGGGUUGGAGACAGUGAUCUUGGUCUGCAAAUAAAUAUAUUUCUCCUGUUUUUAUCUCCACUUACUACUUGUCAGCUGCCAUGACAGCUCCUUACCUCCAGGUGGAAGGGCAGGCCUCCACUUCAUCACACCCUGAUUCCCUUCCCACACGCUCAACCAAACAAAGACAAAACUUUGGGAAGCUGCCUUUUCCAAGAGAGAACAACAAAAACUAUGAACCAAAAGAAAAUGAGCAUCUACUGCAGAAGACCUCAAUAAUGCAUAAGAACAUCUGGAAGUACGGUAAUUUCAGCUAUCAGAGAUAAGAAUUGACACAGAACAGUCAGGUGAAGGGAAGAUGCUCAUAGGAUUCCAUUUUUCACUCUUCAGAAAGCACUGGUAAAGGGAAGAAUUGCUCAGGUGUUAAACUUGACAAGAAACAGUUGAAAGACACACCAUUCUGGAGCAGGAUGGGCAGCUGGACACUUUGUGCAUGGAGAAUCUCAAGCAGUUGGUAACAUUUGGCAAUUUAACAUAGAAAAAAAUGACUGCUAGGAAAAUCUCAACUGCUGCUAAUUAGCAGCAAUGAACUGUGGGUAAGGACAGUACAUUUUAAUGUGAGAAGAAUUUUACUGUAACCACCACA